UUUUUCCCUUAUGACCUUAUUUAAUGAACCCCAUGAUUGAUCAUGAAGCAAGAUAAAAAAAAAAAAAAGAAGAAAAGAAACAAAGGAAAAAGACAAAAAGCUUACAAAAGUUGCAAAUCACAAUAAUGCAACAAAAAUACUUUCCAAGAUAAAUAAAAGAUAUUGAUGGAUGAAUCCCGAAAGACAAUGAGAAAAGCACCAAAAAAGAC
rnacentral:lncRNA from 1 species